AUAACAGCAUUAUAUCUUUAGGAAGAUCAUAUUUAUAAAGAUGUUUGUGACCUCGAUGUUGAAUUAAGAUAAAUUUUAAAUGCAGAAGUUUAAAUAUUAAGUCUGUUCGACUUUUAAAAUCUUACAUGAUUUGAGUUCAGAUCGGUGUAAGCCAGAUC
rnacentral:rRNA from 1 species